GACGAACCGUGCGAACGUUGUUCGGAAUCACUGGGCUUAAAGGGCGCGUAGGCGGGCAUUCAAGUCAAGGGUGAAAUCCCCCAGCUUAACUGGGGAACUGCCUUUGAUACUGGGUGCCUCGAGUAAGGUAGGGGCAUGCGGAACUGAUGGUGGAGCGGUGAAAUGUGUUGAUAUCAUCAGGAACUCCGGUGGCGAAGGCGGCAUGCUGGACCUUCACUGACGCUGAGGCGCGAAAGCUAGGGGAGCGAACGGG
rnacentral:rRNA from 1 species